rnacentral:lncRNA from 1 species
ACACCCACGCGAUGACGUCAUCACGGGGGGGGGAACCCCCCGGGUUUUAUUGCCGAAAUUUUGGGGGGGGGGGGGGAGGGGAAAAGGGGGAAACCCCCUGUGACGUCAUCGGGGGCACCCCAAUGUCCCCAUUUGGGAUCCCCAAAAUCCCAAAAAUCCCCCAAAUUUGGGGUCCCCAAUGUCCGGGUUGGGGGGGGGGUCCCCAAAUUUAAUUUUGGGGUCCCCGAUGUCCCGGGGGGGGUCCCCAAAAUCCUGGAGUGUCCUAAAAAUCCUGGGGGGGGGAUCCCCAAAAUUCUAUUUUUGGGUCCUUGAGGGUGAGGAGUGUCCUGGGGAGGGUUCCCCAAAUCCAAUUUUAGCGUCCCCAAAUCCCAUUUUGGGGUCCCCAAAUCCAAUUUUGGGGUCCCCAAAAUUUUGGGGUGUCCCCAAUGUCCUGCGGGGGGUCCCCAUAUCCCAUUUUAGGGUCUCCCCGUCCCAUUUUGGGGUCCCCAAAGUCCAGGGGUGUCCCCAAAUCUCAAUUUUGGGGUCCCCCCCCAUUCUGGGGACGCCGAGGUGGGGGCGGGUCCUGAUGUCCCCAAAAUGUCCAAAAAAUGUCCCAAAUUGGGGACCAAGAGGAGCACGUGGCCAUGGCAGGAGCAGGACCCUGAUGUCCCCAAAAUGUCCCCAAGGCCACCAUGGGGUCCAAAGGUGGGUCCUGAUGUCCCCAGAUGUUCUGAAAAUGUCCCCAAAAUGUCCCAAAAAUGUCCCCAAGGCCACCGUGGGGUCCAAAGGUAGGUCCUGAUGUCCCCAAAUGUUCUGAAAAUGUCCCAAAAAUGUCCCCAAGGCCACAGUGGGGUCCAAGGGCGGGACCCGAAGUCCUCAAAAGUCCCCAAAAUGUCCCCAAAAUGUCCCCAAAGUGUCCCCAGUGCUGCAGUGGGGUCCAAAGGCGGGUUCUGAUGUCCCCAAAUGUCCCCAGGUGGGGUCCACGAGGAGCACGAGGCCAUGGUGGGGGUCAGUCCCUCGAUGUCCCCAAACGUCCCUCGGUGUCCCCAAAAGUCUCCAGAUGUCCCUCAAUGUCCCCAAUGUCCCCAGAUGUCCCUCGGUGUCCACCAUGAUGUCCUCAGGUGUCCCCAAUUCGGGGACAUGGACGGGUCCUCGAUGUCCCCAAAUGUCCAGUGAUGUCCCCAGUGAUGUCCCCAAUGUCCCCAGAUGUCCCUCGGUGUCCACCAUGAUGUCCCCAGUGUCCCCAAAAUGUCCCCAGUGUCCCCAGUGUCCCCAUCCGGGGUCCACCAGCAGGGCCGGGUGGUGGCGGGGGUUGGUCUCUGAUGUCCUCCACGGUGUCCCAGUGUCCCCAGUUGGUGUCCCAGUCCAUCCCAGUUUGCCCAGUCUGUGUCCCAGUUACAUCCCAGUAUCCCCAGUUUUGGUCUUGGUGUCCCCAGUCCAUCCCGGUUUGUCCCAGUGUCCCCAGUUUGUGUCUGCAGUCCCUCCCA